GGUAACUACUCAAUGGGCCCCGAUUUGUUGAACAAUCCAAGACUCCUUUACACGCUCCAGCGUGAGAUUGAGAAGGAGAUAAUCAGGCAUGAAAUAAUUGCUGCAGAAAUUGAGCGCCGGCGAUUGCCUGAAGAAGAGGUGAGAAGAGAGCUGAUGAUUGAAAGAGAGAUGGCAAUGUAUAGAGCAAGAGAAAUGGGGCUGUCAAUUGAUGACAGGCUCUUAAUGCAACUAUACACAAGGUACCUGUGGUUCCCAUUUAGUAGGAAUCUCGGCUUGGGAUUUGGACAUGAUGUACUGCCUUCUACUCUGCCGCAUUUUUCACAUGGGCUUUGGAGUGGCUUGGACGUUAACAACAAGGAUGAACUGACUAUGCUGGUCGGUAUUCAAUUUUACUUCUUCACAUGGUUUAUUUAUUUAUUUAUUUUGGUUGGUGUCAAUGAGUAUAUUUGUCUUCAAUAUUGUUUAAUGAUUGUAUUAUAUGGAAUCUGGUUUGCUACAAGUUUGAUGGAAUUGAUUCAAUCAGGUGCUAAAUUUAGAGGCAUGUGAAUGAUGUGCAUCUGGUUUUGGCAUCUUGUCUUUGAGUUUUGCUCUUAUUGACAAGGUAGGUGCAUCCAGGUUUGCUACCCAUGCAUGCGGUAAUCCUUGUUCUUCUGUGGGCUGUGCAUAAAAAAUUCAGUCCUAAGGGGGCAUCAUUGUGACUGAUCAAGGAGAUUUUUCUCCCUUGGUUUCUGUAGCUGUAAUUUUUCAUUACAACGAUUUUUUAUGGUGGCAUUACUGUAAUCUGGGCAGAAAAUAACCUCAGAUUGAUGACUUUGCUGAUUCCUUAGAUGUUGAUUUUUGGUACCCUAGUUUACUUGGGGAAGUCUACCCUAUGUAUAAACGGCAGACUCUUGCACAUGCCUUGCCUUAGUAGACAAUGAAAGCAUGAUCAAAUUACACCAUGUAGAAUGAAAACGAAUAAUAUUGUACCAAUUCUCUGAGUGUAGAACCUUAAUUGGAUCAUGCUUUCAUUGUUUAUUUUCCUUGUGCACACUGUCCUUUUGCUUCACUUUUGCUGGUAUUUCAUGUCUAAACUUUUUGGAUAUUUUCCAUGUUACUGAGGUUAUAGCUUAGGUACUGAGGUAGAUGGAUUUCAGUAGAUAUUAAGUUUAAAUAACACAAUAUAACCAACAAGAUUGUAUUUAUUGCUAUUUUUCUGGUGCAUUAUAGGACUUCCCAGUGGACCUUUACUCACUUUUGUUUUGAUACUUAUGAAACUUGGUAAGUGUUUUUUUGAUUUAUUACAGAUUUUCUGCUGAUGGAAAAUUUCAGAAGAAAGUAGUUACAAUGCAGAGCUUACUAAUUGAGGGGAGUUCAAAAUGAUAAUUUUUGACUUUGGAUUUAUGAAAAUUGAAGUAUUAGUAGAGAUAAGUGAGUUUGUUUCGUGUUAGUUUCUUCAUCCUUUCCAAUUGACAAUGCAGAGCUUACUCUUUACAUGUCCAUUUGAAUGACUUUAUCCUGCAUACGUGGAUUUGAAUGUUAUUAGUAAGCCAUUGCUUAGAGAUUCCCAUGUCCAUUCUUAGUGCUAUAGACCUUGGUCUUGAUGCACAGGUGACAAGUUUUUUGGGGAGUACAUUUGGACUCACUAUCUUGAUAUAGUUUCAAAUAUUUUAGCAUUUGAUACUUACGUUGGUUUCACAAGUUCAGUUUGGUUGGUCAACUCAGGUGCAUGAGAGAGUUUGUGUAACUCUCGACCAUGCGUGCAAAUGCCAAUGUAUGUGGCUUUAAAAUUUGGGCAGUGAGGACACGUGAUCCUCUAUAACCUGGAAUCACUAUGUGUCUGAAACCUUUUUGAAUGAAAAACAUGAGCUUGUAGCAAGCUAAGGUUCCAAGAGAGGUUACAUAUGUUUACCAUCAAGUGUCACAUGAACUUGUACAGACUGAUGUUUCUGUUUUCGGGUAAUUUCUUAUUUAAAAUCUUGUUGCUUCUGUUUGUGUAUGUGUGUUGGGCUGGAGGCUUCAUUAAAAUGGUGUUUCCUCAAAUUAUGAAAUAAUGCUCAUAAGUAUUAAUAUCAUCUCUUCUUGUCCAGCUUAUUAAGAAAGUGUUGCAGAAUCCUAUUCAAACACAUUCCCUUUUUUGUUUCUGGGAAGGGAAGAUUUUCCUAGUUCAGUGCUAAAUUAACAAGGAUUCUGGUUGUAUUAACUAUUUAAAAUAUAUUUCUACAUUCUGACCUUUUCCGAGAAAUUCAAAAUUUAAAAUACAAUUAGUGCGCAUUAUUAUUUUGUAAACAAAUUCUUUUAUCUGUACUACAUUAGCAGAUGAUGGAGCUCACAGGGAAUAUUUUGCAUUUUUUACCAUUGAUGCGGUAACUAAUGCACGGCAUCAUCGUUACUGUGUUUGGGUCUCAUUUGCAGGGUAAGCCUGAUUCCAAUAUUUGUGGAUCAAAGCAGAAAGCUGCCACACCACCUGCAGGUUCUGGAAAGCUCCCUUCAACAAGUUCAAACAAACCCAAGAAGUGGAGCUGUGCCCUCUGUCAGGUCAGUGCUACUACUGAGAGAGGUCUAUAUGUGCAUCUUCAAGGUAAGAAUCACAAGGCCAAGAAAAAUCUACUUAGAGAUUUAAAGAUGUUCAUUAUCUCCACUUCAAAAAAAUCUACUGAGAGCAGAGAUAGCGGUGGCCAAGAAAUGAAAACUAAAGUACAAAAGGAAUCAGUUAAAGGUAAUAAAACUGUUGUUGAUUUAGACCAGAAAGUGGAGGGUGGUCUAGAUGGGCAUUCUCAACGUAAGAAGCACAAGGCCAAGGUAGCAAGACUGCUUAGAGGUAAGAAAAUGUGUGGUAACUUCACUUCUUCUGUGUCAAAAAAAUCAACAGAAAGCAGAGGUGGUGCUGGCCAAACAAUGGAGACUAAAGCACAAGAGGAAUUAGUUAAAGCUAACAAAACUGUUGUUGGUUUAAACCAGAAAUUAAAGGGUGGUCUAGAUGGGCAUCCUCGACGUAAGAAGCACAAGGCCAAGGUAGCAAGACUACUUAGAGAUAAGAAAAUGUGCAGUAACUCCACUUCUUCUACGUCAAACAAAUCAAAAGAAAGCAGAGGUGGUUCUGGCCAAAAAAUGAAGACUAAAGUACAAGACGAAUCAGUUAAAGCUACUAAAACUGUUGUCGGUUUAAACCAGAAAGUGAAGGGUGGUCUAGAUGAGCAUCCUCAAGGUAAGAAGCACAAGGUCAAGGAAGAACUACUUGGAGCUCAGAAGUGGACAAAAAAAUCUACAGAAAGCAGAAAUAUUGCUGGCCAAGAAAUGAAGACUAAGGUAGAAGAGAAAUCUGUUAAAGCUAAUAAAACUGUUGUUGGUUCAGACCAGAAACGGGAGGGUGGUCAAGCCCAGCAGGUUAAGCCCUACCCCAAUGUUUGUGGAUCAAAGCAGGAAGCUGCCACACUACCAGCAGAUUCUGGAAAGCCCUGUUCAACGGGUUCAAAGAAACCCAUGCAUUGGAGUUGUGCCCUUUGUCAGGUCAGUUCUACUAGCAAGAGAGAUCUAGAUGAGCAUCUUCGUGGUAAGAAGCACAAGGCCAAGGAAGAAGAACUACUUGGAGCUCAAAAGUGGACAAAAAAAUCUACAGAAAGCAGAGAUGGUGCUGGCCAAGAAAUGAAGACUAAAGUAGAAGAGGAAUCCAUUAAAGCUAAUAAAACUUUUGUUCGUUUAGACCAGAAAGGGAAGGGUGGUCAAGCCCUGCAGGUUAAUCCCUAUCCCAAUCUCUGUGGAUCAAAGCAGGAAGCUGCCACACUACCAGCAGAUUCUGGAAAGCUCCGUUUGGCGAGUUUAAAGAAACCCAUGCAUUGGAGUUGUGCCCUCUGUCAGGGGAGUGCUACUAGCAAGGGAGAAUUAGUUAAGCAUCUUCAAGGUAAGAAGCACAAGGCCAAGGAAGAAGAACUACUUGGGGCUCAGAAGUGGAGAAAAAAAUCUACCGAAAGGAGAGAUGGUGCUGGCCAAGAAAUGAAGACUAAAGUAGAAGGGGGAUCCGAUAAAGCUAAUAAAACUCUUGUUGGCUUAGACCAGAAAGGGAAGGGUGGUCAAGCCCUGCAGGUUAAGCCCUAUCCCAAUCUUUGUGGAUCAAAGCAGGAAGCUGCCGCACUACCAGCAGGUCCUGGAAAGCUCCGUUUGACGAGUUUAAAGAAACCCAUGCAUUGGAGUUGUGCCCUCUGUCAGGUGAGUGCUAGUAGCAAGAAAGAUCUAGUUGGGCAUCUUCAAGGUAAAAAGCACAAAGCCAAGGAAGAAGGACUAGAAAGGGAGAAGAAACACAUGGCUCGGUCUAAUGAAUCUAAGAAAAAUGAUGAAGCCGUCCCCCUCACCACCAGCACAAUUGUGACACAAUUAGAGCCUACUGAGAAGGUUGAAGAUGAAGAUGUAGUGGCCAAAGAAUCAAAUGAAGAAACAGCAGACAGUGUUAUUGAGAAUGCUGAAGAUGAAGAGGUGGUGGUCUAUAGAGGAAGACAAAGUGGGCCGGACGCAGCAGACUCCUUGUUAUGCUGAAGGUAAAGCUGUAACUUUUAUUUUGCCCGUGCACUUCAUUUUGAAUGUCUUAAAACCAGCUGCACCUCACUCUAUCAUUUGAAAACUCGGAAAUCACAAUAAUAAAUUUAAGUUAAUUCUUCCAUCUCUUUGUAUAUGGAUUUGAAGGAACCAAUUGAUGAAGCCUAUAAAUUCAAGCAACAAUAGUGUAAUGGGGAACAUGCGCUGUUCUCUACUAUCCAGUCUUGGUAAACAGCUCAAAAAAUGAAGUGGAGAUACUAUUAGAUCUACUCUCUAUGAAAGUGCUUCAGACAUGCAUGUUUGCCACUACAAUGUUGUCAUAGCCUCAUAGAGCUGAUUCUUCACAAUUCAGAUAUUCACCCAUGAAUGGAUGGAAUUUAAGGAAAAUUUCCUUAUAAAUUCAUCAUAGGAGAAAAUUUUCUUAAAGAUGUCUUAAGAUAAAAUCCUCGUAAGAAUGAAAUUUAAUGAAAAACUCCUUAGAGAAAAUCACCCUAAGAUAAAUUCCUCCUAAAGAUGGAAUUUGAAGAAAAAUUCAUUAAAAAAAUCAUCAUAGGAUAAAAUACUCAUAAGGAUGGAAUUUAAGGAAAAAUUCCAUCAAAAAAUCAUCCUGGAAUCAAAUCCUCUUAAGGAUAAAAUUUAGGGAAAAAUUCCUUAGAGAAAAUCAUCCUACGAUAAAAUCCUCCUAAGGAUGGCAUUUAAGCAAAAAUUCCUUAGAAAAAUCAUCCUAGUAUCAAAUCCUCCUAAAGAUGAAAUUAAAGGAAAAUUUUGUUCCAAAAAUUAUCCUAGGAUAAAAUUCUCUUAAGGAUAAAAUUUCAGGAAUAAUUCCUUAGAGAAAAUCAUCAUAAGAUCAAAUAUUUUAAGGAUAGAAUUUAAGGAAAAAUUACUUAGAAAAUCAUCCUAGGAUAAAAUCCUCAUAAGGAUAUCCGAGAAUAACAUCCUCCUAAGGAUGAAAUUUAAGGAAAAAUUCCUUGGAGAAAAUCAUCAUAGGAUCAAAUCCUCCUAAGGAUGGAAUUUAAGGAAAACUUCCUUAUAAAAUCAUCGUAGGAUAAAAUUCUCUUAAAGAUAUCCUAAGAUAAAAUCCUCCUAAGGAUGAAAUUUAAGGAAACUUCCUUAGAGAAAAUCACCCUAGGAUAAAUUCCUUUUAAGGAUGAAAUUUAAAGAAAAAUCCCUUAGAGAAAAUCAUUUUAGGAGUCCAUCCUCCUAAAGAUGGAAUUUAAAGAAAAAUCCCUUAAAAAAAUCAUCCUACGAGCAAAUCCUCGUAAAGAUGAAAUUUAAGGAAAAGUUCCUCAGAGAAAAUCAUCCUAGGAUCAAAUCCUCCAAAGGAUGGAAUUUAAAGAAAAACUCCUUAGAAAAUCAUUCUAGGAUAAAUCCUCUUAAGGAUAUCUUAGGAUAAAAUCAUUCUAAGGAUGAAUUUUAAGGAAAAUUUCAUUCGAGAAAAUCAUCAUAGGGUCAAAUCCUCCUAAGGAUGGAAUUUAAGGAAAAAUUCCUUAGAGAAAAUCAUUUUAGGAUCAAAUUCUCCUAAGGAUGGAAUUCUAGGAUAAAAUUCUCUUAAAGAUAUCCUAUAAUAAAAUCCUCCUAAGGAUGAAAUUUAUGAAAACAUUUCUUAGAGAAAAUCACCAUAGGAUAAAUUCCCCCUAAGGAUGGAAUUUAAGGAAAAAUUGCUUUGGGAAAAUCAUCCUGGGAUAAAAUACUCCUAAGGAUGGCAUUUAUGGAAAAAGUCCUUAGAAAAAAUCAUCCUAAAAUCAAGUCCUCCUAAGGAUGGAAUUUAUGGAAAAAUUCCUUAGAGAAAUCAUCCUGGGAUCAAACCCACCGAAAUAUGAAAUUUAAGGAAACAUUCCUUAGAAAAAUUAUUCUAAGAUCAAAUUCUCCUAAGGAUGGAAUUUAAGAAAAAAUUCCUUCGAGAAAAUCUUCCUAGGAUCAAAUCCUCCUCAGGAUGAAAUUUUAGGAAAAAUUUCUUGAAAAAAUCAUCCUAGGAUCAAAUCCUCAUAAGGAUGAAAUUUAAGAAAAAAAUCCUUAUAAAACCAUCCUUGGAUAAAAUUCUCUCAAAGAUAUCCUAAGAUAAAAUCCUCCUAAGGAUAAAAUUUAAAGAAAAAUUUCUUAGAGAAAAUAAUCCUCGAAUCCAAUCCUCCUGUGGAUGGAAUUUUAAAAAAAAAAUUCCUUAGAAAAUUGUCUUAGGAUAAAAUGCUAUUAAGGAUAUCUUAGGAUAGAGCCCUCCUAAGGAUGAAAUUUAAGGAAAGUUUUCUUAGAAAAAUCAUCCUUAGAUAAUUUCCUCCAAAACUUAAAAUUUAAGGAAAAAUUCGUUAGAAAAAAAUUCUUAGGAUAAAAUCCUCUUAAGCAUAUCCAAGGAUAAAAUCCUUUUAAGGAAGAAAUUUAAGGAAAACUUCCUUAGAGAAAAUCAUCCUNNNNNNNNNNNNNNNNNNNNNNNNNNNNNNNNNNNNNNNNNNNNNNNNNNNNNNNNNNNNNNNNNNNNNNNNNNNNNNNNNNNNNNNNNNNNNNNNNNNNAUGGAAAUUUAAGGGAAAAUUCCCUUAGAGAAAAAUCAUUCUAGGAGUCCAUCCUCCUAAGGAUGGAAAUUAAAGAAAAAUCAUCCUACGAUCAAAUCCUCCUAAAGAUGAAAUUUAAGGAAAAGGUUCCUCAGAGAAAAUCAUCAUAGGAUCAAAUCCUCCUAAGGAUGGAAUUUAAAAAAAAAAAUUCCUUAGAAAAUCAUUCUAGGAUAAAAUCCGCUUAAGGAUAUCCUAGGAUAAAAUCAUUUUAAGGAUGAAAUUUAAGGAAAUUUUCCUUCGAGAAAAUCAUCAUAGGGUCAAAUCCUUCUAAGGAUGGAAUUUAAGGAAGAAUUCCUUAGAGAAAAUCACUCUAGGACAAAUUCCUCCUAGGGAUGGAAUUUAAGAAAAAAUUCCUUAGAGAAAAUCAUCCUAAGAUAAUAUCCUCAUAAGGAAGGAAUUUAAGGAAAAUUUCCUUAUAAAAUCAUCAUAGGAUAAAAUACUCUUAAAGAUAUCUUAUAAUAAAAUCCUCCUAAGGAUGAAAUUUAUGUAAACAUUUCUUAGUUCCUCCUAAGGAUGGAAUUUAAGGGAAAAUUGCUUAGGGAAAAUCAUCCUAGGAUAAAAUACUCCUAAGAAUGACAUUUAUGGAAAAAGUCCUUAGAAAAAAUAAUCCUAGAAUCAAGUCCUCCUAAGGAUAGAAUUUAUGGAAAAAUUCCUUAGAGAAAUCAUCAUGGGAUCAAACCCUCCGAAAUAUGAAAUUUAAGGAAACAUUCCUCAGAAAAAUCAUCCUAAAAUCAAAUCCUCCUAAGGAUGGAAUUUAAGGAAAAAUUCCUUAGAGAAAUCUUCCUAGGAUCAAAUCCUCCUUAGGAAGGAAUUUCAGGAAAUAUUUCUUGAAACAAUCAUCCUAGGAUCAAAUCCUCAUAAGGAUGAAAUUUAAGAAAAAAUUCCUUAUAAAACCAUCCUUUGAUAAAAUUCUCUUAAAGAUAUCCUAAGAUAAAAUCCUCCUAAAUAAAAUCCUUCUAAGGAUGAAAUUUAAAGAAAAUUUUUUUAGAGGGAAUAAUCCUCGAAUCCAAUCCUCCUAUGGAUGGAAUUUAAGAAAACAUUCCUUAGAAAAUCAUCUUAGGAUAAAAUCCUAUUAAGGAUAUCUUAGGAUAGAGUCCUCAUAAGGAUGAAAUAUAAGGAAAAUUUUCUUAGAAAAAUCAUCCUUAUAUAAUUUCCUCUAAAACAUGAAAUUUAAGAAAAACUACCUUAGAAAAAAUAAUCCAAUGAUCAAAUCCUCCCAAGGACAAAGUCCCCCUAAGGAUGGAAUUUAAGGAAAAAUGCCUUGGAGAAAAUCAUCCUAGGAUCAAAUCCUCCUAAGGAUGGAAUUUAAGGAAAAAUUCCUUAUAAAAUCAUCAUAGGAUAAAAUUCUCUUAAAGAUAUUCUAAGAGACAACUUUCCUAAGGAUAAAAUUUAAGCAAAAAUUCCUUAGAGAAAAUCACUCAAGGAUAAAUUCUUCUUAAAGAUGCAAUUUAAGGAAAAAUUCCUUAGAAAAUGAUCUUAGGAUAAAAUCCAGUUAAGGAUAUCUCAGGAUAAAAUCCUCCUAAGGAUGAAAUUUAAGGAAACAUUCAUUGCAGAAACUCAUUCUAUGAUCAAAUCUUCCUAAGGAUGGAAUUUAAGGGAAAAUUUCUUAUAAAAUCAUCACAGGAUAAAAUUCUCUUUACACUGUCAUAAGAUAAAAUCCUCCUAAGGAUGAAAUUUAAGGAAAAUUUCCUUAGAGAAAAUCAUUCUAGGAUAAAUUCCUUCUAAGGAUGGAAUUUAAGGGAAAAUCCCUUAGAGAAAAUCAUUCUAGGAGUCCAUCCUCCUAAGGAUGGAAUUUAAAGAAAAAUCAUCCUACGAUCAAAUCCUCCUAAAGAUGAAAUUUAAGGAAAGGUUCCUCAGAGAAAAUCAUCAUAGGAUCAAAUCCUCCUAAGGAUGGAAUUUAAGAAAAAAUUCCUUAGAAAAUCAUCUUAGGAUAAAAUCCUAUUAAGGAUAUCCUAGGGUAAAAUCCUUCAAAUGAUGAAAUUUAAGGAAUAUUCCUUAGAGAAAAUCAUCCUAGGAUCAAAUCCUCCUAAGGAUGGAAUUUAAGGAAAAUGUCCUUUGAGAAAAUCCUCUUAUGGAUGAAAUUUAAGGAACAAUUCCUUAGAGAAAAUCACCCUAGGAUAAAUUCCUACUAAGGGUGGAAUUUAAGGAAAAAAAUCCCUUAGAGAAAAUCAUCCUAGGAUAAAAUCCUCCUAAUGAUGGAAUUUAAAGAAAUAUUCCUUAGAAAAAUCAUCAUAGGAUAAAAUCCUCCUAAAAAUAAAAUUUAAGGAAAAUUUUCUUAGAGAAAAUCAUCAUAUGAUCAAAUCCCCGUAAUGAUGGAAUUUAAGGAAAAUUUUCUUAGAAAAUCAUUCUAGGAUAAAAUCCUCUUAAGGAUAUCCUAGGACAAAGUCCUCCUAAGGAUGGAAUUUAAGGAAAAAGGCCUUAGAGAAAAUCAUCCUAGGAUCAAAUCCUCCUAAGGAUAGAAUUUAAGGAAAAAUUCCUUAGAGAAAAUCAUCUUAGGAUAAAUUCCUCCUACGAAUGAAAUUUUAGGAAAUAUUCCUUAGAAAAUCAUCAUAGGAUAAAAUACUCUUAAGGAUAUCCGAUGAUAAAAUCCUCCUAAUGAUUUUUUUUUAAAAAAAUCUUAGCAUAAAAUUCUCACAAGGACAUCCUGAGGAAAUCCUCCUAAGGACAGAAAUCAAUGACAAAAUCUUCCUAAGUAUGGAAUUCUUGGAUAAAAUCCUCCUAAGGAUGUUUAAAAAAAAUCUUGGAUAAAAUUCUCCUAGGGAAAGCCUCCUAAGGAUAGAAAUCAAGGAUAAAAUAUUCCUAAAGAUGAAAUCUUUGGAGAAAAUCCUCCUAAAGAUAUUUUAAAAAAAAAAGUCUAAAUUUUUUAUUUUAAAAAUUUUAGACUUUGGGGUGGGGGCAACAGUUGCACGAAAAAUAAAAUAUUUCUAAUUAAGGCCCAAAUAAAUUUAAUCUCAAUAAGGCCUAUUUAAUAAAUUUACUCCGAAUUAAGUUCAGAAGUAGUGGAUGUUAGCCUAAAAGGCUACACAUAAUAUAAUUUUGAUGAUAACAAACAACUGUCUAAGUGAUUUAAUAAAUAUUGUAUUUCACAUUUUCUCUAUUUUUUAAAGGAUAAUAUUUAUGCAAGUGAAUCAAGUAAAAUCAAGUUCAACACACUCAACGGAUAACGGCGAAAUCAAGAAUAAAGUUUACAGUUCAACAGAUAAAUUAUUGCGAUAACUUCUUGUAAAGCCGAUAUAAUUUAAUUAAUACAUGAUUUAAUAUUUGAGAAGUUCAAGAGUUUAUUUAAAUAAUUACUUUUUAUAAGCUAAAAGGUUUUAUAUUUAUAAGAUAAAGAAUUUUGUGGAUUUAAGUAAUUUGCACUAAAAUGAAAAGUUUUGCAAUCCUUGAAUUUAAUAAGUAUUUUUUAAAAUUCUAGUUAGACCCAUUUGCAAAUAUUUUAAACGUUUUGUGCCAUACUAUAAUUUAUUCAAGUUUGAGCACUCGAAUGUAAUCCAAACAUUUGAAAUCCAAAAUUGGAUAGAGUGAGCGGCUAACCUCCUGAGGUCUAGCGGCUAGCCGCCUGAGGAAAAUCUCAUAUUUUCAAAUUUUGGAUUAAAUUGAAAGGAUUUGAGAACUUUGAUAUUUAUGAAUAUUUUGUUAAAUCUUGAAAAGGACAUCUUUGAAAAAUAUUAUUAUAUGUUGGGCCAUAUUAUUAUUUUAUAAAGUUUAGAGAAUGACAAGCAUAAUUUAAAAAUUCUGAAAUUGGACCUUUUAUGUAAAAUUGUAUGACGUUGUAGGCCAUCGUAUAAUUAUAGAAAGUAUUGGGCUAUAAUAUAAUUUUAGAAAGUUUUGGGCAAAAUAUAAUUUUGUGAACAAUAUUACUAUAGCAAAAUUCAAAUUUAACGGUAAUUUUACUAUACUGGAGCGGCUAGCCGGCCAAAUUAAGCGGCUAACUGCUUGGGCGUGGGAAUUUGCCUAUAACGGCUAGUUUUUGGGCUUUAACUAUAAAAAUCCAACUCCAACUUCAUUAUAAAGACUAAUGCAAGCAUAAAUAAGAUCAUAUAACACAUAUUGGGCUUCUAUUUCGCAAAUCAUCAUUUAUUGAAUCAUUAUUGUGCUAUUAUUUGCAUAUCCUCUCUUAAAGAGAGUUUUUGUUGUAAUUUUCAUUUCUCAUCAAAUUGUGAGUGUACACAAGUGUGAGAAACACUUGGGGUGAAGAGAUUGAGGAGAUAAUCUCUUGAUUGUAAAGGUUCAUUGACACCUUGGAAGUCAAUUGUAAAAACUUGAAGCCUUGAAAGGUUUGGAUAGUGAAAUCCUCGAGCUUGGUUGGCUUGGAAGUGUGGACGUAGGCGGGAAUUGCCGAACCACGUAAAAAUUGUUGUGUUUGCUUUCUCUUCCCUUACUCUUUUAUUAUUGUGAUUUACUAAAUUUAUUAUUUUUGUAUUUGAUUAAGGCAAUAGAUUAAAUUGUUGUGCGAAUUGUUUAGCAUAAGUUUUAAAAUCUCAAUUCACCCCCCUCUUGGGUUGCAUAACUUGCAUUUCAUUGGACAAACUACCUUGAAAAGUCCUCCUAAGUAACAGGACUUCAACGCCCAAAGGGUUCCAAGAUCCAUGGCCAAAAGGAUCUGAGGUCCUAGGUUCCUAUCCUAAGACAAACCACCUAGGAUAAAUCAACUAGGUGGCAAGGUCUCAAAGCCCAAAAGGAGCCAAGGUCCUAGGUUCUUAUCCUAAGACAAACCACUUAAGAUAAAUCAACUAGGUGGUAAGGAUUCAAAGCUCAAAAGGUGUCGAGGUCCUAAGCUUUUAUCCUAGGACAAACCUCAUAAGUUUGAAGGUUCCUAUGAUCCCAAGGUCUUAGUAAAAAUAACUUAAGGAUAAAAUGUUUCUUCCUUUAAUCCGUAGACAAGUUUGCACAUCCAUAUGUUAAUUCACACAAGCACUAAAAGAAAAGUGCUGCCAAAUAUCACAAGAACAAUGGCAUUUGUCAUCAAAGUAACUAGCAUUCAAGUCAAAUCAGUUUUGCUUAUAAACAUAUCCCUCGUUCUCACUAAAAGGUAAGAAACAAUGGAUUCAAGAGGGGAAAUGCUAACUUUCUCUCUUUAGUUCUCUCUCCCUAAAAUUAUAUUUCUAAAGAUCCAAUGACUAAUUUGCUCGUCGGAGGGUUUACGCCGGCAAAGCCGGCCCUCUGAUCCUUUUCUUGUGUCUGUAGAGUAUCAUUGAACGAGAACAUUCUCAUUGCUUAAGGAAGUGAACUCAAAAGAAGUAAUAUAAAGGCCCAUUAAGAUCAACCCAAUGGGUAAACUCACCAUUGUCAAAUCCAACAAAGAGGAACCCAAGUCCUAAGGGGGUUGAUCUCAGUUAGAAUUUCCAUAUAAGCAGUUGGGACAAAAUUUGCACCAAAAAAUUGAUAUAUUACUGUCUUUUUCUUUAGAUUUAUAAGUAGCGUUGUAGUGCUAUACUAAAUGAAUCAUUGUAAUUUAAUUAUUAUACAACGAUUAAUUCUGGAGUAAGUGAGAAAUUUCAAUCACGGACAAAAUAUAAGAUUGAUAAUUAUUGAUUAGGUUAAUAAUCCAUGGCAAUAAAUUCUGAUAAGUUUACAUCAAAAUAAUAUCGAGAUUUCUUGAACAUGCACAAUCGAUUUUGAGUCUGUCAUUAACACAUUAACCUAAUUAAGCUCCUUAGUCCUUACAUAUGCAGUGAGAAAUAACUUUUUUUUUGUAGAAAUAAUAAUAUAUCCUAUCCUUUGAAUAAUUGAAUUCCACCUUCGGCUGCAGAAUGAUCCAUUUUAAGAUCUGUGGCAGACUGGUAGGUCAAGUCUAUUUAGGAAAUAGAAAAUAUAAUUUAGUUGGUUUAAUUAUUUUGGGUUUAAUGAGGAUCUAGAAGCAUACAAGGAGUUAUUUAGGAAGCAAAUUAAUGAAGACCCGCAAGCUUGGAUAACAUAAAUCAUGUAAACUGGACACGGUUGAUUUGUGAAGAUUGCAUGCUAAUUAGUGUUGCAUGGUUGCUUAUAGUCUAAGAAUUGGUCACUUGAUCGUUAUAUAAAGGGCUUGCAAUUUGUACUUCCGAGGCUUGAUGACAUAAACCGUAUGUAAAUCUUUUUCAUACUAUUUUUUUCUCUUUUUUUAAAGGUAAGCCAAGUCAAAUUUUCUUUUGAUUCGAUUAAACCGAGUCGGAUUCUAAAUAUAUUUUAAGUUCCGUUCAAUUAACCAAGUCGACAAAUUUUGUUAGUGCUAUCUCUUCCUUUUUUUUUUUAUUACAACGAUCAUGUUUGCCUCGGUUCAAACCCCGAAACAGCACAAAAACGACAUCGUUUCGAUAUUAUUAUUAUUAUUAUUAGUUUUGAUUCACUAUAAUACGACACCAUUUGGCUUGGAAAAGGCAAAGGAAAUGGUAACCCAGCUGCUUUCUCUCCUCUAGGCGAUAGGGUUUAGCUUAGAUCACGUAAAAGCAAAAGCAAAAGCUCGAACAAGGAUGAGUUUCAGCAUUGUCCCUGAAAGAUGAUUUUGGACAUUUACUGUGGCUGUGAAAAUGUUCUGGCAGCAGAUUGAUUUUCUAUGUGGCUUUGCAAUAAGAUAAAGUAUUGUCUUCUUUAGCAUAAAGUUGAGUUUCAAAGCUUAAAUUGUGCUUGAUGUUGAUUAAUAAGCGGGUAAUAAUCUGAGCAUUUGUUUCUAUAUUUCCAUAUUAAUAAGCGAGUUUCAUUGCCUUGUUGUUAAAUUAAGUUAAUAUAAUGGGUAAUAAGCUGAGUAUUUUUUUCUAUAUUUCAUUUUGAGUGUUGUUGAUUAAUAAGUGAAGCAAUUUCAACCAUCUCGUGAGUCCUGACCUUAUGAUGCGAUGCUUUUACAUCAAGCUUGAGCUAUUCAUUUUGUUUCUAUUUUCUAUUUCUAAAUUUAAUGAAUUUGCAAUAAUUAAUUAAUAAUAUAUUGAAUUAUUUUAAUUUGCAGCAGUGAAUGGAUAAUUUAGAACAAGUGGAGGAGGUUGAUAAAGUAGAAGAAUUGCAAGAUUUUCAAGGGGGAUAAUUUUGAAGAAAAUAAUGAGGAAUUGGUGGAAAAUGUUAUUGAGCCUAAGGUUGGGAUGUCUUUUAACAUUCCUGAUGAAAUGUUUGAAUAAUAAAAACCUUAUGCCUACAAGAAGGGUUUCCAGUGAUGCGGAGAUCUUAUAGAAAAGGGGAUGAUAGGAGUUUGAAAUAUGUGACAUUUACUUGUGGGCGAAAUGGCAAGUCAGAAAGCAAAUCUAAUCAUGUUUUGCUGCUUUAACCUAACCAAAAAAAUGGAUGCAAUGCUAAAAUUGGAAGACGUUUGGAUGUUUUUUGUGGAAAAUAAAUAAUUGGAAAUUUGUACUUUGAACACAACCAUAUUGUGAGUCCGAGCAAGAGUAGGUAUUAUCAAUGCAACCGUACCAUUAGUCCUUUUGUUAAAAAACAACUUAAAAUAAACGAAGAAGCAAUAAUUAAAAUGACUUAAAGUUUCAAGUCGAUUGUUAUUGAGGUUGGUGGCUUGGAAAAUGUCUCAUUUUUAGAUAGAGAUGCUAGAAAUCAUGUUGAUAAGGUGAGGCGAUUAACGCUCGAAGAAAAAGAUGCUGCUACAAUUUAGAGAUAUUUAAAAAAAAUACAAACAGAUAAUGAUGGGUUUUUCUUUAGUCUUGACUUAGAUGAGGAAGGUUGGUUAAAAAAUGUAUUUUGGGCAGAUCCAAGGAGCAGGCCAGCCUAUAAAGACUUCGAAGAAGUUGUCACGUUUGACACCACAUACCUUACAAACAAGUAUGACAUGUCAUUUGCUUCUUUUGUGGGAGUUAAUCAUCAUGGUUAUUCAAUUUUUUUAGGAUGCGAGUUGAAUUCACAUGAGGACACGAAUAUAUUUAUGUGGUUAUUUGACACAUGACUACAUGUAUGUCUGGCUCUCUUCCCCUUGGAAUCAUCAAAGACUAAGACAAAGUAAUGAAAAAUGCAAUUGAGAUCGUUCUUCCAAAUACUAGUCAUCGAUGGUGUUUGUGGCAUGUACUAAAGAAGGUGCUUCAGAAGUUAGGAAGGUAUGCAGAAUAUCAUGACAUUAGAGUUUCGUUGCAUUAUGUUGUUUAUGAUUCACAGACUCCUGUUGAAUUUAAUGAAGCAUGGCAUGACAUAUUAUAGAAAUACGAUCGUGGUAAUAAUCAGUGGUUAAAUGGUUGAUACAAUGAAAAAAUUCAUUGGGUUUCAUGUUUUGUUAAAACUACUUUUUAGGUUAGAAUGUCAACUACUCAACUUAGUGAGAGUAUGAAUGCUUUAUUUGAAGGGUAUGUUAACUUAAAAACAACCUUGAAGCAAUUUGUAGAGAAAUAAGAGAAAACAAUGGAAAGCAAAAUUGAGAAAAAAUGGCAAGCAGAUGCUAGGUGUUUUAGCCAACGGAUGCCAUGUCAUACCAGUUUUACAACGGAGAAGCAAGUUGAAGGAGUGUACACUAUCUCCAAGUUUCAAGAAUUUCAACAGGAGCUAAUGAAUAAGAUGUAUUGUGAGGUUUUUAGUUAUGGGGAUCAGAAUAUGAAGUCAUUGAAAAUGAUAGAAAGAGUAAAAAAAAACUUUUAAAGUUAUUUUUGAAAAAGAUGAAGGUGAAAUUCAUUUUAUGUGUUCAAUGUUUGAAUAUAAGGGCAUUUUUGUAGACAAGCCAUUGCAGUGUUGCUAUAUAACCAUAUACAAUUACUUCCUGACAAGUAUAUCAUACAAAGAUGGAGAAAAUAUGUGCGGAGAUGCUACAGUAAAGUCAAAGUCAGCUAUGAUGUGAGGAGUUCAAGCAUUGAACAUCAGCAGUUUAAAAAGGAGUGCAUUGCUUUUUAUGAUAUUGCUAAGGUGACUUCAAAAAAUUAAGAAAACUAUAAAAAAAUAUUAUGGGUUGGAUGAAGAAAGUAAUAAAGGUUCUAUUCCUGAAUAUUUGAUGUGACAAUGACGAUACAAUUGUUGAUGGUGGAUCAGGAAAUUGUACUGAAAUCAUACAGGAUCUAGUAGUAAGUCGUCAUAAAGGUCGUCCACCUUGCCAAAGAAAGCAAAAACAAUUUAAAAAGCCAAAAUAAAAGUUGAACAAUAUUUUUGUAAGCACAAUUGUAGAGGUAAUUAUAUUAUAUCAAAGUAAUUUAAAUUACUUUAAUACAUUCACUUUAAAUUAAUUUAAUAUAUAUUUUAAAUGUAUCUUGAUUGUUUUCGUAGGACUCGGAGAUACAUGAUUUAUCAUCUCAAUUGACUACCACAAUCCCAACACAAAAGAGCAAUAUGGCCAUGGUAGUAUUUUUUAAUUUGCCAUUUUCAUUUGUCAUAUGUUUGAUAAUUUGUGUUUAAUUUUUUUUUUUGUACAAUACCUAGCACAAUAGGCACUCCCAGAAUAUGUAUUUUUUUCCCCUUACUAUCAGUAUUGGAUAAAUUAGGCUGAAUUCAUCACGUAAACUUCCAACAAUUACCACAACCAAAUUUUGAGGAUGCCAAUCGGAGGGAUUUUUCAACUAAUGAACCGAGCACAUGAUCGAAAUUAACUUGUGUUAUGUUUUUAUGUAUUAUUUUGGUUUUGUCAGUUGUUGAAUGCAAUUAAUUUACAUGUAUAAAUGCAAUUUAUAUUUAUACUUUUGUUUAGUCAUUUGUAUCUUUAAAUAAGUGAUCGUUUCACUAUAAUUUCAAAUUGUCGGAUCGUCAUUUUCUUGAUUUCAGAUUACCAUUAGCAUCCAGAAACUAAACUCCAAUUUUGCGCAAUGUCGAUUACCCUUUUUCCCAUUGAUAGUUAGUCGGUAGCAUCCAAAAUUGAUAAAAUCUUGCAUUAAGAUAAUUAGUUAGCCAUUUUAUGAGUUAACAUGAAUUCAUUUAUUGCCAGAAAAUUAUUCUUUGCUCAAUUCAUGAUAUGGGUUAAGUAUUUUGAUCCGAUUAAAGAUUUUUUCAAAUUUAAUCAAUUUUGAAAUACAUUUGUUAUCAUCAAAAUCAUUAUUAAGGAAGCAUACAUGUUAAUAAUUAAGUCAAAUGAUUUAGAAACUUAUACUUCGCAGGAAAAUGGUCUACAUAUGCCUACAAGUCUUUUAGAGUCUUUUUCAGUUACAUAGUACAGAUUUAAACAACUUAAAAAUAAUACUUGAAUAGAAAGCAUAAUACAAUAAUCACAAGUAUUUUAAUAAAAUCAAAUUGUGGUGUCUGUCUUCUUCAAAGUUGGUCGUCCAACAAUCGCCUUUGCACCUCACAUUCUUGCAUACGCUCAAGUUCUUUGUGCAAUAAUUGAAAUUUAUUGGACAAAUACUCAAUCUCCAAUGCCAACUUCCCAACCUCCUCUACUAACAAGUCAAUUUUCUCUUCACUAGAUUUACGGUAUUCUGCCCAUUGAAAGUCCUUACAUCCUCUACGAAUCUAAAAUUUGCGAUUUGGAUUCUUUAUUGUAUGUGACGUUAAGAAAUCCAUCCAAUCACCGCAUCUGUUGCAUAUUUGCAAUGAGUUUAGAUUCUUAAUUAUGCUGGAUGACAUUAUGAUUAGUAUACAGCUGAAACUGCCCAAAAAAGAAAAAAAAAGCCUAAUUCAGUUUAGGAAUAAGUUUUAUAUGUAAGUCUAUUCCAAUAUCAAUUAUUCCACAACAUCAUCUGAUUUAUUUUACCUCAACUUAUCUCAACAGCAGCUAGACCAAAUCUUUUCUAUUUCUCAAAUUCCUAGAUCUACACCCGAAAAAGGGAAUUAGUACUUGAAAAUUAGUUUAAGGGCUGCUGCACAAAGCUUUGAUCAGUACAAAAUCCCCUAACAAUGGCACUAAUAUUGAACUAUGACCUAAAAUUACUCUUUAUCAAGGUAAGACGCAUGAAAAUGACCAAAAAAUUACUACCAUUGUAAGUAGCUGCCAAUUGCACUGCAAUAUAGUUGUUACCUAAUCCAGCAACAACAACAGGAGGAUUAGGUAACAAUUAUACCAUACAUUUUAUGAAAAUCGUACAUUUUACAAAGGAAUCUGUUGUAGUAAGGACACUAAUCAUGUAUCUCUAAACAUUUUUAAACAAAACAACCAGCCUUAACUCCCCAAAUUAAACACUAGAUACUCUGAACCAUAACUCCUCACAUCAAAGAUCAGAAACUCUAAACCACAAAUUUUAAAGGAAAGAGGAAACAUUUUAAAGGACACAUAUCAAUUUGAAUAUACAGUAUAAACAAAUUGAUUAUACAACAAUUACAAUAGACAUAUCAAUUUGAAUAUGCAGUAUAAACAACUACGAUGAAGGAAAGGAGAAACAUUUUAUAAGACACAUAUAAACAACUAUAACAUAACCUGAAACCACAAACAACUACAAGAUCAACUAGUCUUGUAUUCUAUUAUUGUUGUUGAAAUCCAUACCUCAACCUACAUAGUACAUAUUGUCGAGUGUUAGAAAGUGUAUAUUUAUAAAGGAGAAAAUCGUCAUUUUACAUUUUAAGUCUCACUAACAUCCCUACUUUUAUGUAUUUAAGUCUCUUGUGAUUUAAUUAUGUGUGUUGUAUUAUAAUUAAGUAUUUUAUGUAUUUUAGGAGCAUCAUGGUUAUUUCACAAUGAACGAGAGAUCAGACAGUAAAACGAACAUUACUUUUGAACUCAGGAUAGUCGAAAACCUUAGGAGGAGCAUAAAAGGACAAAUGGCAUUGUUCACAUGUAUGGUACUAUUCACAUGUACCGUACUAUCCAUGAUACUGUUCACGAUGACAUGGCAUUGAUCGAUGACGUGGCACUGACCAAUGAAGUAUCACGAUCCUAUUAGACUAAAAUUUUUAUGUACUAUUGAUCGGUGGCGUGGCAGCAUGUUAGUGGAUUGAAAAUCGUGCAUACGGUACAUGCAUAUACACAGAAUUAUUUAUAACCAAACUGCAUUACUAUUCAAGCCGCCUCACUGUUCAUACAGUGUAACUAUUCAAACUGCGUGGUCAAAUCGCGUACUGUUGACACGUGGCGCAAUCCUGAGGGUCCAAAUUGUUUUUAAUCCGACGACCAUGAUUUACUCAAUGUAUCAAUAAAAAAGAGGCUCCCCCCUAAUUUGACAUCACUAAAUUCAUUUUUGAGCUCCAUUUUCUGUAAUUUCCUCUCCAUGUUGUAUUUUCUAUGUAUUUUAAUAAAUUUUUAUUUUACCCUUAGUUUAAUUAUGAGUAGCUAAUUUUCUUUCAAACUUGGGUUGAAGGUGAAGUCUCAACAUAUUCCAUGGGCUUAAUUUGGUAAAUUUACUUUCUUUUCCCCUUUGAUUUUUGUGGAUGUUUUGACUUUUCGUCAACAGAUAAUAAUAAUCUUGUCUAGAUACCGCACUGGUAUAUUGAUGAAGAGUAGGAAUCCAUAUUAUACUAGGAUUAGUUUCCUUAUUAACUAAAGUUUAAGACUUUUAAAUUCCUUUCUAAUUUAGAAUUUUGUUUCCCUUUCAAUUUAGGAUUUUAUUUUACUUCAUGAAUUAGGAUAAUUACUACUACUAUAAAUAGCUCCCUCUUGUAGCCUUUGAAAGCAGAGAUUUUUGAGUUUAAUAAUAUUUCAAUUUUCAAAUCUCUUUGUGAGUAUUUGAACAGUUAAUUCUCGGUAUUCUGCGGAAUCAACGAGUCUUAAUCCCUAAAUUCGCGGUAUUAUUUUGAAUCAACGUGAAUUUAGUUGUUCUUUUGUUCCGGUAUUCUCUAAAAUCAACGGAAUAUUUUGAACAUUAAACUUCCGCUGCAUCAGUUUGGUAUCAGAGACAAAACCUGGUAUCACCAAUCUAACUCCAUCUACCACCAAACCUUUCCUUUUUCCCUUUUUGAUUUUUUCCAUUUAGCUUAAAAAAAAAAAAAAAAAACCCCACUUUUUCAGACAAACCACCACCAUCAUCUUACCAACCCAAAAUCUUUCAGAUCCACCCACCCUUACUCGAUUUCCGACCACCAUCAUCGGCAAUCUAAAACUUUUUGCUUAAUUACAGUUUCGGCCUAAAAUUUUAUUUACUUUCAGUUUAACCCCACUACCUUUUUAAACCCGAAUUUGAAAAAAUGCCUCCAAGAAAAGCUCGUGAUGCUCAUACUACAACUUACAAUCAAGAAGAUGUUUCGAAAGAUGAAUCCCUGGCUAGUAUGACAGCCAGAAUUGAUAUGUUAGCUGCACAAAUGGCACGAAUAGCAGAGUUACUUGACGAACGUCAUCGUACUCCAGAACGUGAAGACAAAUCAAGUGUAAGCUUUGCUAACCCAUUCUCUGGGCGUCGACCUAGAACUGAGUCUACUGAUGACAGAAGAUGGGAAUCUGGGUUGAGAAUUGACAUUCCCAAAUUUCAAGGAAGUGGUCGACCUGAAGAAUUAUUAGACUAGAUUAACGCCAUUGAGGAAGUUUUCGAAUACAAAGAAGUUCCUGAAAAUAAACUAGUUUCGCUUGCUGCAACUCGAUUUCGUGGAAGAGCAGCAGCUUGGUGGCAACAAACUAAGCUCACAAGGAUUAGGCAAGGCAAAAAGAAGAUUGAUUCUUGGGAAAAGUUCAAGAAGCACUUGCGUGGAGCAUUCUUGCCUCAUAAUUACGCCAAACUGUUAUACCAACAGCUAUAGAAUUUAAGGCAAGGUAAUCGAUCAGUGGAUGAUUACACUACAGAAUUUCAUUGGUUGGUGGCCCGCAAUGACUUGACAGAGACAGAAGAACAACAGGUUUCCCGCUACAUUGGAGGCCUACGAUCUCAAUUUCAAGACCAAUUAAAUUUACUUGACUCAUACUCUGUUUCAGAGGCACACCAACAAGCCUUGCAGUUGGAGAAGCAAUUUAGUCGACGUACUAAUGACUCAAGCUUUCGGGGUGCUCGAAGUGUUGUUCGUGAUAAUUCAAACCCAACUUCCCAAUUUCGUAAUUUCACUCCUCCAAAUCCUCCAAAUAAAACUAGUAAACCUAGUGAAAUCGGUCAAAGCAGCAAAACUCAAUCAUCGGGUUCGGGAUUACGCUGUUUUAAUUGCGGAGAAAAUGGGCACCGAAUGACAGAAUGUAAAAAGGGAGGAAAAUAUGGUAAAGGCUUAUUCGUAGGCACAGAGGAAAGUGAAGACUACCAGGAGGAAGAAACUGAAGAGUUCGCUGUAAAGCCAACUUUUGAUAGUAGUGGUAGCGCUCAAUCUGUUGAAGAACAUGGUGAUAGCGGGCCAAUGUUGAUCUUGAACCGCACAUUCUUCACUCCUAAAGGUCAAGACAAAGACAAGUGGCUACGACAGAAUAUCUUUCAGACUACUUGCACAAUCGGGGGUAAAGUAUGUCGUAUGGUCAUAGACUCCGGCAGUUGCGAGAAUGUCAUUUCGGAAGAAGCCAUAACAAAGCUAAAUUUAAAGACAGAACCUCAUCAAACUCCAUACAAGCUCACAUGGCUGAAGAAGGAAAAUCAAGUGACAGUAUCGAAACGUUGCUUAGUUUCCUUAUCCAUUGGUUCAAUUUAUAAAGACAAAAUUUGGUGUGAUGUUGUGGCUAUGGAUGCUUGUCAUCUAUUACUGGGUAGACCUUGGCAAUAUGAUCGAAACGUAGUGCAUGAUGGGAAGAGAAACACCUACAGCUUUAUGUUUAACAACACCAAGAUCGUUCUCCUACCUAACAAAGAGUUUACUCUCCAGCAAGACUUGGGUAAUUAUUUGUUAGGAAAGAAGCAAUUUAUAGAUGUUGUAGCAGAGACAAAGAGAGUCUACAUUUUAUUGGGAAAAGAGAGUAACGGUGAUUCGAAGAUUCCUGAAGCUGUGACACCUAUUCUGGCGGAAUUUCAAGAUUUGUUCCCUAAUGAGCUACCACAGGGUUUACCACCUCUUCGAGAUAUACAACACCAAAUUGAUUUGGUACCAGGUUCUACAUUACUAAAUCGACCUCAUUAUCGUAUGAGUCCUACAGAACAUGAGGAAUUAAGGCGCCAAGUGGAAGAGUUACUAGAAAAGGGAUUUAUCCGUGAAAGUCUUAGUCCCUGUGCAGUCCCUGCUUUAUUGACUCCAAAAAAAUAUGGUUCUUGGAGGAUGUGCGUGGACAGUCGAGCUAUCAAUAAAAUUACAGUUCGAUAUCGUUUUCCAAUCCCUCGAUUAGACGACUUGUUAGAUCAACUCAGUGGAGCAACAAUUUUUACCAAACUUGAUUUGAAAAGUGGCUACCAUCAAAUUCGAAUACGGCCUGGAGAUGAAUGGAAAACAGCUUUUAAAAUUCGCGAAGGGUUAUACGAGUGGUUGGUAAUGCCGUUUGGCUUAUCUAAUGCUCCGAGUACUUUUAUGCGAGUCAUGAAUCAAGUUCUUCGCCCUUUCAUUGGAAAGUUUGUGGUUGUUUACUUCGAUGAUAUACUUAUAUAUAGCACCAGUCACGAGUUACAUCUACAACAUUUGAGAGAAGUGCUUUUAGCCUUAAGAGCAACAAGUUUAUACACAGCAGUAAACAAGUGUAUUUUCUUGACCGAGAAAGUAUUAUUUUUGGGAUAUGUGGUGUCGAAGGAUGGUAUAUCUGUUGACCAAUCAAAAGUGGAUGCUAUUCGAGAUUGGCCUCAGCCAACUACUUUAUCCGCCACUAGAAGUUUCCAUGGAUUGGCCUCUUUUUACAAGCGAUUCAUUCCUCAUUUCAGUACUAUUAUGGCACCAAUCACAAAUUGCAUGAAAGGAGGACAAUUCUCUUGGACAGAGGCAGCUACUAAGGCAUUCAAGAUUAUCAAAGAAAAGUUGAUUACUGCCCCAGUACUUGCCCUACCAGAUUUUUCGCUCACUUUUAAGGUACAUUGUGAUGCUUCUAAGGUCGGCAUUGGAGCUGUUCUUAGCCAACAGGGUAAGCCUAUAGCUUAUUUCAGUGAGAAGUUGAAUGGAGCAAAGGCACACUACAGCACUUAUGACGUGGAAUUUUACGCAGUAGUCCAAGCGUUAAAACAUUGGCGACAUUAUCUAAUUCAUAAAGACUUUGUUUUAUACACUGACCAUGCCGCGUUAAAGUAUCUCAAUAGUCAAGACAAGCUCUCUCACAGACAUGCCACGUGGACAGCAUUCCUUCAACAAUUUACCUUUGUGGUGAAGCAUACCUCUGGUGAAUCAAACCGGGCAGCAGAUGCACUUAGUCGACGAACUUCGUUAUUGACACAGAUGCAUAAUCAAGUUCUUGGAUUUGACACAUUUCGAGAGUUAUAUGCUUCUGAUCCUUACUUUGCUCCUAUAUUAGAAGACGUUGUUGCAGGGUUUCGCUCAGAUUAUCAUUUACAUGACGAAUUCCUUUUCAAGAGUAAUCAAUUGUGUGUUCCUAACUCAAGUUUGAGAUUGAAAAUCAUUUCAGAGUUAUAUAAUGAAGGGCACAUGGGUCGUGACAAAACUCUGGCUCUAAUCGCCAACACUUAUUUUUGGCCUACUAUGAGGCGUGAAGUCUAUCACUAUGUUGAGACUUGUCGCAUUUGUCAAGUUUCCAAGGGUGCAGCAACUAAUGCUGGGUUAUAUAUGCCGCUGCCAAUUCCAACACAACCUUGGGCUGACAUUAGCAUGGAUUUUGUUUUGGGAUUACCCCGCACUCAGAGGGGUAUGGAUUCAAUAUUUGUUGUUGUUGAUCGAUUCUCGAAAAUGGCUCACUUCAUUGCUUGCAAGAAGACUACAGACGCUUUGACUGUUGCUCGCCUAUUCUUCAAGGAAGUCUAUAGAUUGCACGGUUUACCAAGUUCUAUAGUAUCUGACCGGGAUACACGAUUUCUUAGCCAUUUUUGGAAGACAUUAUGGAAGUUGACUAACACUCGCCUGAAUUUUAGUAGUGCUUACCACCCACAAACAGAUGGUCAAACUGAAGUUGUCAACCGCUCUUUAGGAAACCAUCUACGUAGUCUAGUUGGUGAUAACUUGAAGAUGUGGGAUCAGAAGUUAUAUCAAGUCGAGUUUACUUAUAACCGUGCAGUUAAGCGUAGUACUGGUUUAAGCCCUUUUCAGGUGAAUUACGGAUAUAAUCCACGAGCUCCUAUUGACUUGGCUCCAGUUCCAGAUUUAGUUCGCAAAAGCGGUAAAGCAGAAGACUUUAUUGAGCAGUUUCAGCAGAUUUAUGAAACUACGCAAGAGUCUUUAAAGCAGACGACCGAAGGUUAUAAAAUUAUGGCAGACAAAAAACGUCGAGCUUUAGAAUUUCAAGUAGGAGAUCUUGUUUGGGCUAUCUUAACUAAAGAUAGAUUCUCAGUUGGUGAGUACAACAAGCUUUCUGCCAGGAAAAUUGGCCCUUUGGAGAUUAUCGAGAAGAUAAAUCCUAAUGCAUACCGAUUACAGCUUCCUAGUCAUAUCCGCACCGCAGAUGUCUUUAAUGUCAAGCAUCUUAUUCCUUACAGAGGUGAUCAUGAUGAAGAUGUUAUUGCUGACAAUCUGAAUUCGAGGGCGAAUUCUCUUCACCCUGGGGGGAAUGAUGAAGAGUAGGAAUUCAUAUUAUACUAGGAUUAGUUUCCUUAUUAACUAAAGUUUAAGACUUUUAAAUUCCUUUCUAAUUUAGAAUUUUGUUUCCCUUUCAAUUUAGGAUUUUGUUUUACUUCAUGAAUUAGGAUAAUUACUACUACUAUAAAUAGCUCCCUCUUGUAGCCUUUGAAAGCAGAGAUUUUUGAGUUUAAUAAUAUUUCAAUUUUCAAAUCUCUUUGUGAGUAUUUGAACAGUUAAUUCUCGGUAUUCUGCGGAAUCAACGAGUCUUAAUCCCUAAAUUCGCGGUAUUCUUUUGAAUCAACGUGAAUUUAGUUGUUCUUUUGUUCCGGUAUUCUCUAAAAUCAACGGAAUAUUUUGAACAUUAAACUUCCGCUGCAUCAUAUAUCCAGCACCCUAGUGCAAUGUUAUUACUAUUUAGCAUGAUGAAGCCUUAGCACCAUAUUGAUUAGAGUGUGGUUCAUAAGGAGUGGAAAUCCCCCGCAUGAUUUAAUUAGGACUAAUAAGAAAUAUUAAGCCUAUGGUGCAUGUUAAUGCAGAUUCAGAUACUCAAGCUCUUCAUUUUAAUAGAUUUCAUUUCAAUUUAUUCCCGUCAUUUUAAUUUAAAUUUUAAGAUAAUUUAAAUCACUUCUACCACAAAUCCAAUCACCCACUUAGAAAAUUAACUUUACACAUAAUUAAAAUCCACCUCCUUAUGGGAUCGACACUCGUCAUCAUUAAUCUAUUCUAUAAUAGAUUCGUGCACUUGCGAGUUCAAUAAAAUUUGCACAACACAUAUAACAUCAUUCAUUUUCUUCCUCUGUUGUCUUUUGUAUUAUCUAGAUUCAAAUUGUGAUUUUUCACAUUAUCAAACAUCUAACACAAUCAAUUAAUCGAAGCUACUGCUACUAAAAAAUUUUACCAAAGUAAAAGAAAAAAAUCCCAAAUUACCCAGAUUAGAUGGCAUACUAUACAUAAUAAAUCACACCAAUUUCUCCAUCCAAUUAAGAAAAGAAAAAUAAAACCCCAGAUGAGCAAAAACUUUAUACCUUAAUGAGAAAAUGAAUCAUAUGCAGAUAUUGGAUUGUGAAUGGCAAUUUUAGGUUGUGGCUGGAGCUGGAUCGGCAAAGCAAAGAGGAAAUAUUUGGAUGUGGUUGGAGCUAGUGGCUGGAGUUUGAUCGAUGAAGGAAAUGAAAGGGGAAAUAUUUGGUUGUGGUUGGAGCUGGUGGCUUAGAGCUCAAUCAACAAAGGAAAUGAAAGGUAAAAUAUUUGGGUGGAGCUCCAUCGACAAAGAAAAUGAGAAAUACUUGGCAAGUAAAAACGACGUCAUUUUUUGCUUUAACGAAACGCUACAUUUAAAUUUCGGGGUUUGACCCGGGGAUUGACCCAGCGUAAAUAUCAUUUUCGUUGUUAUUAAGAUAGUGAUGUAUAAAAUAAAUCUAAAUAUCCUUAAAAUCCCAGAAAGUCACAUCCAUAACUAAAUUUGUGUUGGCUAAUACUGAUGUCGGCACACAUAUUUGGCGCAUAUUAAAAGAAACGCUCUUUCCAUUUACUAUUUAGGUUUCUAUUAUAUAAAUAAUUUCUUUUCUUAACGAAUAAGUUAAAGCCUUAAAAGGGAAAAGAAUUAUUAUAGAUGAAAAAAAAAACACUAGUUUUCUAAUUGCAAAUGUUUUUCCUAGGGCGGGGUGUGUGCGCGCACCUUUGUUGGGCACACAGACAAAUUAAGAGUGCAUUUGGGGCAGCUGCUCCACCCUUUAUAUUCUUACGGACUGUGCUGUGACAAUGCAACUGCCCUUAACAUAUCCUGAAACCAUUUGAUAGCUCGCCAUCAAGUUUUACCUUGCACAUAGACAUACACACUCUCUUUCUUUUCACAGUCAAUAAAGUUCAAGUUAAACAGUGAUAUUUAAACCAUCAUUUAUAUCUAUUAUUGAAUUGGAUAUAAAUCAUUAGAUCUAUUGAAAUAUAUAAAUGAAUAAUUAGUAGGAAUUACUAAUUAUUUUACCAUAAUUAUAUGAAAUAUGCUUUCAUUAGGAUUUCCUAAAAAAUUUUUUGUAGUGAAGUGUUGAGACUUUUAAUAUACUGUUGUAGAUUAAAAACUAUGGCUAUCUAAAAUAAAAUUAUGAUGAUGCGUUUACUUCCAAAAUAAGGACGGGAAUGAAAAUGAAAUUUGAGUGGGCUCUAUAAGUUUGGGAAUGUGAAAUGGGAAUCUCAUUUCGAAGCGAGAGGUGGAAAUGAGAAGUGAAUUAAUAUUUGUACUCUUAGUGAAAAUAAAAAUUCCUUUUUAACUUGUUUUUUAAUAAUAAUAAUAACAACAAUUAUGAUCAUCAUCAUCAUCAUAAUCAACUAAAGGUCAAUUUAAUAAUUUGUAACAAUAUAUUCUGAUUAUAAAAUAAAGUAAACAUCAAUGAUAAAAUAGCUCAUUAAGUUUCGAUUCCUAUAGUUAAAGUAAAGAUUGUAUUCAGCUGGACCGAAGUUUCCUUACUGUCCUAGAAAGUCUGACCCAUAGCUAAAAAUACAGUGUUGACUUACACAUGUCGGCCACCAAAUUUUGGCGCGUUAAAAAACUCUCUUUCCGGUUUCCAUUUGUGGAUCAUGAAUAAGUUAAUUUCUUUAUGAAUAAGUUAAAGCCUUAAAAGGGCAAAGCAUUAUUGUAGUUUGAAAAAAAAAACACGAGUUUCCUUGUUGCAAACGUGGCAUAUAUUUAUCUACUCUUUUAUUCGUCUUUGUUGGGCAUCCAGACAAACUAAAACCCAACUUGACAGGCUCGCCGACGAGUUACAUUGCGCGUAGACAACACGCACUCACUUUCCUUUCACAGUCCAUGGAGUCCAAGUUCGGACGAAUUGACGACAGAACGGUGCCGUCUCGGUCGUCUCCUUCUCCGUCUUCUCAGAGCUCGAGCUACUCAUCUGAUGAUCAAGCACGUCGAGGUCCAUUUAGAUCUCUCUCACAAUCGUCAUUAUCCUCUAUUUGCUUACUGAAAACAAUAUAUAUAUACAUAUAUAUAUAUAUAUAUAUAUAUACACGUUUGCUUUAAAUAAUGUCGUAAUUUUGAGAAGUGCUACGAAUUGUGAUCCAAAUGCUGCCUUAACUUUUCUGCCUUAUGGAAAAAUUUACCUCAGAACCUUAAAUGCUUUUGCACUUGCAAUCAAAUAACGUAGCUUGCCAUCUUGAAUUAACAUAAACAAUCUCUUUCCAGGUAACUACUCAAUGGUCCCCGAUUUGUUGAACAAUCCAAGACUCCUUUACACACUCCAGCGUGAGAUUGAGAAGGAGAUAAUCAGGCGUGAAAUAAUUGCCGCAGAAAUUGAGCGCCGGCGAUUGCCUGAGGAAGAGGCGAGUAGAGAGCUGAUGAUUGAAAGAGAGAUGGCAAUGCAUAGAGCAAGAGAAAUGGGGCUGUCAAUUGAUGACAGGCUCUUAAUGCAACUACACACAAUGUACCCGUGGUUCCCAUUUAGUAGGAAUCUAGGCCUGGGAUUUGGAAAUGAUGUACUGCCUUCUACGCUGCCGCAUUUU
rnacentral:lncRNA from 1 species